rnacentral:lncRNA from 1 species
UCAUAAUAACGUACUUAUCACCAAAAAAAAAAAAGAAAUCAUAGCUUCAUUCAUCUAAAACUAGAGUGGGGACUUUUUGGUCAUAUCACAAUCAAUGACAUAAUAAAAGCGUCGGAGGAUGGAUGUGACGGAGUCGGCGGUGGCGGAGAUAUUGAAAUUGACGAGAGACAGAGCCAAAGCUCCGAACCACGCCAUGUCUCUAGUCCCCGGCGGAAUCGCUGUUCCCCUUUUUUGUUAAGACUAGGAAAGCUCAGAGUCAGAGGCAUGUCCAGAGUUUGAUCGUCGUAUCCUUGGGCUUAUCAAUAUCAGCUGACUCUCAGAGUUUGCUCUCAUGCUUUGCCCACCACAAGGGCUUAGUGGCGGAUGCCUUGAUCGUCCUCUCGGAGUUGUCCCUGAACAGAAUCCAAAGGCUAGAAGCUCUUUUCAGAAGAUUUGAAACCUGCUUCUUGCUCAUACCAACAUCAUUUGAGGAGCAUGACAAUCUUCUUUCCUUGGCAUAUGACAACUGCUCAUCUGAUCCUGCCCCACCCUCAUCCUCGCUACACGAAGCCCAUUCACUUCCUGAUUCCGAUGGUUCCCGGAGAUUAUCCUUUUCACACGUUUUUGCCCGUUCCACAACCCUAUAUGCAAACAUUUGAAAAGGAACCUGUGAAACUUUGGUUAGCUCUGUAGAUUCCCAAGAAAGCUUCUGCAAUAGCUUUGUCUCGAUCUCGCAGUAAUCCACAGUAGGCGCAAUGGACGGGUCUUGUUGGCUACUACUGUAACAUUCCGGGUUCAAAGCUAGAAACCGUUUGAUAUACCGGAGAAUUCUGCUUAUCGAUGAGAAAGUUGGACGCUGAUUGGGAUCAGCAUGCCAGCAUCGUUUUGUCAGGUGGCUAUCUUCAAAUGGUACUUUACCUGUCAGAAGCUCAAAGCUAACCAUCCCAAAGCUAUACACGUCAGAUUUAUCACUAUACUUAAGGCUUCCUGCAGUUCCACUCUGUUCUUGCUCCUCUAGAACUUCUGGAGAAUACCAUAUGAAUGGAAAAUUCUCAUUCUGACUCGUCAAAGAAGCACUUUUACUAGAGAAUCCCUUGACAGAAUUCAACCCGAACCCAAAAAUCUUCCCAAGCAGAUACCCAUCUCCGGAUUGGUUACUUCUUGGUUUGACAAGAAUGUUUGAUGGAUUCAACUCUCCGUGGUAUAUUCUCUUCGAGUGAAGAUAUUCCAUACCCAAAGCUAUCUGAAGCAUCAGAUCAACCGCGACCGGGAGGGAGAGAGUGUUCUUCUUCCUAGGACCACAUACCUCUUUGAUGUGCAUUCCAAGGGUUUUCCUCAUCAGUUCCAUGACCAAGAAACACUCUUUCUUCUCCUCAUCCGUGAAUCCGCAGAGGUAAUAUACAAUGUUUGGGUGUGAAAGAGAUAGCAAUGGAGUAAUCUGAGGAAGCAAAGCAUCAAUAUCCCCAAAGAAAUGCCUAAGCGCAAAGCUCUCGCCUAACCAGAAGAGAAGAAGGAAAUAGCUUGGGGCUCUCAUUUCCAUCUCCCAAAUGCUUCAAAAGGAAAUCAGCCAUCUUCCGUUCAUGUUUGCUCGAACCGGACUGCUUUUUCUCCUGAAGCUCCUUGAUCAGAAUCCAACGGUCCUCUGUCCAAGCACUCUCGAACCGGUUGCAGAAAUCCUCGGUCACCAAAUACUCUCUCCCAAACUUCCAGCCUCGACGAUGAUCGGUAGACAAGAGAGCAAGUUAUGUAUGUGAAGCUCUGUGCAAUCUCUAUUGCUAUGCAACACAAUAGCCUUAGCCCAAAACCCAAGUUUAGGCUCUAAAGACAUUCUAACAUAAGCCUCUCCUUCUCUAACCACCCAUAGAAGCUCCCUUAAGGGCUGUUCUAGUAUCUUCCAUUUAGUGUUCUUCUCUUUGAAGCGUAGAUUGGAUCGCAUCGACACAGAAAUUGACUCGUAGGCUGCGGUGAAGAGGUCGAGUAAUAGAGAGCAUUGACGCUGGUUGAUUUGAAUGCUGUCCUUGAACACCAUUAACGCUCUUAUGCUUCCUAAUACCUCUCCUAUCUCUCGAAAUUGAUCCAUUUCACACCUCUUCAAUUGUACACAAGGCCUUCGGAAUUUGUAUUAUAAAUUAUUGUACUCAUAAGAAAUCGUAUCACAGGAAUGGAUUUGUGAAAGAAAUUCUCUACUUGAGAUGUACGGACACAUCAUACGGAUAAUAAGUUAUAUUUGGCAAUUGUAGCCUUUGUUUGUUUUAUUUACUGAAGUUUGUUUUUUAUAACAAACGCGCAUGAUAG